rnacentral:rRNA from 1 species
UACGUAGGGUGCGAGCGUUGUCCGGAUUUAUUGGGCGUAAAGAGCUCGUAGGCGGUUUGUCGCGUCGGCCGUGAAAUCUCCACGCUUAACGUGGAGCGUGCGGUCGAUACGGGCAGACUUGAGUUCGGUAGGGGAGACUGGAAUUCCUGGUGUAGCGGUGAAAUGCGCAGAUAUCAGGAGGAACACCGGUGGCGAAGGCGGUUCUCUGGGACGGUACUGACGCUGAGACGCGAAAGCGUGGGGAGGCGAACAGG